rnacentral:rRNA from 1 species
UACGUAGGGGGCGAGCGUUGUUCGGAAUUAUUGGGCGUAAAGCGCGUGUAGGCGGUUCGGUAAGGCGGAUGUGAAAUCCCGGGGCUCAACCCCGGGCCGGCAUCCGCGACUGCCGGGCUGGAGUGUGGGAGGGGAGAGCGGAAUUCCUGGUGUAGCGGUGAAAUGCGUAGAUAUCAGGAAGAACACCCGUGGCUAAGGCGGCUCUCUAGUACGGUACUGACGCUGAGACGCGAAAGCGUGGGGAGCGAACAGG